rnacentral:rRNA from 1 species
UGGGUCCUACGGGGGGCAGCAGUGGGGAAUAUUGCACAAUGGGGGAAACCCUGAUGCAGCGACGCCGCGUGAGUGAAGAAGUAUUUCGGUAUGUAAAGCUCUAUCAGCAGGGAAGAAAAUGACGGUACCUGACUAAGAAGCCCCGGCUAACUACGUGCCAGCAGCCGCGGUAAUACGUAGGGGGCAAGCGUUAUCCGGAUUUACUGGGUGUAAAGGGAGCGUAGGUGGCAUGGUAAGCCAGAAGUGACAACCCGGGGCU